UGCGGGGUGGAGCAGGGGCAGCUCGUCAGGCUCAUAACCUGAAGGUCAUAGGUUCGAAUCCUAUCCCCGCUACCA
rnacentral:tRNA from 1 species